UCAAAACAGCGGCCUUCGGGCCUCGCUGCACCCUUGUCUUUUGCGCACCGUAUUGUUUCCUCGGCGGGCUUGCCUGCCGGUUGGACAUCAUAGAACCUUUUUGUAGUUGCAAUCAGCGUCAGAAAAACAAUAAUUAUUA
rnacentral:misc_RNA from 1 species